UAGAGUGAAAUAUAAAUAAAAGAUUUAAGAGAGAUUAGAGUGAAAUAUAAAAGAUUAGCGUCCAAAGUUAUAGAUUGGAUUAUGAAAUGCCACAUUGGAGAUUGAGAAUGAAAAGAAAUAAUUUGAGGGCAGCCACGUAGGCUCCAAGCUGUUGAAACUUCAGUUGCAGAAAAACCUGAGAAGACUCCAAGUAUUAAAGGAAAAGGUCCUGCUUCUGAAUUGCUCUGAUUUAGGGAGUGCUUGGAACUUUAGGGUAACACAUAUGCAGUUGAUGAGGAAUGAAGUUCAUAACCCCCUCUUGUAGGGGGCGCGUUGCAUUCCCAGUUGCAAGUGAUUAUUGGGGAAUCAUUACCCGACGCAAAAAGACUACCAUACUUUAUUGCCAUUUCCCCAUCUCCUAAAGCUCCACACCAAGUACAUCCCUUUACAUGCUCACUCAUUAAAUUUCCAAUUAUGGUUUCAUCACUAUCAAUUUGUAAUGAUUAGGUGAGGCGAGGGAGAAAAGAAAAAGAAAGGAUAUUUCAACUGCUACCCCCGGCGAAGCAAAAAUUUCGGAGAAACAAAGGGUUGCUAAGACUGUCAUAUUUGGUAGUCUCCUUGAUAUCGAUAUGGCCGAGGAAGUUCAUCGUCUAGCAAGAGA